GAAGGCGGGUCCGGGGCCGAGGGGAGGCCCCGGGGCAUGCAGGGGAGGAGGAUCGCCAAGCGGGAAGGGUUCUAGGGAGGCGAUUGCGCCCCACGUCUUCUUUGUGAGAGCUCAUAUCCGUUCUAAGGAUCACUCGGUCUCCCUCCUCCACGGACAGAGAAAAGCGACUCCGGCGACUCAGCUGAAACGUAAGAACGGCCUUCCGCGCCCACAAUCCGAGUACUGA